AAAGUGUAUCAGGUGACUCUGGGUCCCCCAAAUCCUGCAGCAUAUCGGGGCUGGAGCCGUCCUUACCCAGCUCUGCGCGCGGGCGGGAAUUUUGCGCCACGCUCGGGCACCCGAGUGUCGCUGUCCCUUCAGCGCUGCCCCAGACCCUGAGACACACGGUCAGGGGCUCCCGCCGCCGCGCCACACAGGCUGGAAAAUCCCCGCCAGACCGAAGCCGAGCCUGGGUCGUGCACCUUAAGAACCCCCAAGUAAGGGAUGGGUGAAGUGGGGAAGGAGGGAGCCGAGGGAGUUUGUACCGAGUGACUCAGGUAGGAGCCGUUCUCCCGGACUCUGAUGCGACUGCAUUAGAGUUAAUGGCAGCCGCCUGCUUCUCAUUAUUAAUUGUCUUUGUGUUUGGAUAAAGUAUGUAAUCUUCUUUCCAACCACACCAUUAAAAUAAGGUUGCCUUUUCAAUUAAGAACUGUCGUGAGCACAGCAGUCAAUUUUGCUAAUGAAGACGCAUUAUAUUUUCCCCUAACCCCCCCCCCCCCAAAAGAAGAAGAAGAAUCUCGGUUUUUCAUUAGACGCGAUUAUGGAUAAAAUACUCGAAGGUUUCCCAAAAAUUGGUGCGAAGAAGAACUGCGUUAAUCGGCAGGCUUUUAAAUAAAUAGAAAUCUCUGCAGAUACAAGGAAAACAUGGCUAGCAAACAUUUCCAAGCCCACUGCUUUCAAAUUUGUAAAAGCAAAUACGAUGAGUUUAUUUAUUUGCUCAUUUUUGCAGAUGCACUUAAAGCAGAUCAAACAGCGGCUACCUGAAAAUACCUCUAUAAACUUCCGGGGUGUGGGGGGGUGGGGGAUACACUAGUUUACCGAUGAGUUCUCAAACUGAAGCUGAGAACUGAAAGGCCCGGACUCUUCAGCUCCAGCACCCACGAGCAAAGUGCGUGCACUGUGUCCUACAGCUUGUUUCUGCUUUCUACCCCUGUUCCAUCUUUCCGUCCUUGACCCCCUCCUUUAAAGGCGAAUUGAAAGCCAAUAACCAUGGUGGGACUGCUUAAAAGUCCACGCUUUUGCAACAAGCAAAUUCUCCACUGUUCUACAACCUUAAAAGGGGCAAAGUUGUAAACUCCAAGUUUUAACAUGAACUGGACACUCACCUUCAUGGAUGCAAAGGUGCAAAAGUUUGGAUCCAUGGAAAAUGAAAAGUGUGUGUCAGUCACUUACUAAUCUCCAAGCUGGGGAACAUGCAAUGGAAAGGAUCUAUCAAGAGCUAUGUGUUCUUAGUUGAUUUUAAAAAUUAGUUUGUUAUUGUUAUUAUUAUUAUUAUUAUUGUUAUUAUUAUUUUGCGUUGUGGAAUAGUGUUUCGAAUAAGUCUUUCCCUCAUUCAAUAUGAAAACUCUGAUAGGAGCCACAUUGAGAAUAGCAUGUGAGGGGAAAAAAAUACGCCAAAGAAAUACACCAAAUUCUUCGAAGUAGAAGGAAGUUCCUGUUAGCAGCAGGGUUUUCCUUUGGAAGACAGCAUCAGUGGUUUCUUGCACACAUGAUCUUUUCCAGGUUUGGGGUGUUAUGCCUUUUAAAUAUUGAACUUUUUUUUAAUCAACUAGCUCCUUAAAAUGAUCUGCAAAGAGUGGGAAAUUAGAUUUUCGAUUAAAACCUUAUCCCAUCUCGAAGGAUUACUUUAUAUUGAUUCUUAAAUAUGGCUACAAUUGAUGGGCUCUAAUUAAAAAUCCAAAGAAAACGUCUGCCAUGCCUGUAUGAAAGAAGCUUUUCAUGUGCGGGAAAUAAAGCUUUGUAAAAGGUUACAAAUAAAAGAUUAGAGUUUUAUCC
rnacentral:lncRNA from 1 species